AUACGGAGGACGCGAGCGUUAUCCGGAUUCAUUGGGUUUAAAGGGUGCGCAGGCGGCCGUGCAAGUCAGCGGUGAAAGCCCGGGGCUCAACCCCGGAAGUGCCGUUGAUACUGCAUGGCUGGAAUGCGGUCGAGGCGGGCGGAACGCGGCGGGUCGCGGUGAAAUGAGUAGAUAGGACACAGAACGCGGAUAGCGGAGGGAGCGCGCCAGGCCUGCAUUGACGCUCGGGCACGAAAGCGUGGGGAUCGAACAGGAUUAGAUACCCUGGUAGUCCGCACAGUAAACGAUGAAUACUUGUUUUCGGUGAUAAAAUGUCGGAGGCAAAGCGAAAGCGAUAAGUAUUCCACCUGGGGAGUACGCCGGCAACGGGGAAACUCAAAUGAAGUGGCGGGG
rnacentral:rRNA from 1 species